rnacentral:rRNA from 1 species
UACAGAGGGUGCAAGCGUUGUUCGGAAUUAUUGGGCGUAAAGGGCGCGUAGGCGGUUCGGCAAGUCUCUAGUGAAAUCUCUGGGCUCAACUCAGAGUCUGCUGGGGAAACUGCCGGGCUUGAGUGUGGGAGAGGAGAGUGGAAUUCCCGGUGUAGCGGUGAAAUGCGUAGAUAUCAGGAGGAACACCGGUGGCGAAGGCGGCCCUCUGGACGGAUACUGACGCUGAGGCGCGAAAGCGUGGGGAUCAAACAGG